GGACCUUUAGCUCAAUCGGUAGAGCUUUGUACUUAUGAGGUUACCUUGACCUAUUCAUGCAAGGGUCCCGAGUUCGAUUCUCGGAAGGUCCA